UCCUACGGGGGGCAGCAGUGAGGAAUAUUGGUCAAUGGUCGGGAGACUGAACCAGCCAAGCCGCGUGAGGGAUGAAGGUACAGAGUAUCGUAAACCUCUUUUGUCAGGGAACAAAGGCGGGGACGCGUCCCCGGAUGAGUGUACCUGAAGAAAAAGCAUCGGCUAACUCCGUGCCAGCAGCCGCGGUAAUACGGAGGAUGCGAGCGUUAUCCGGAUUUACUGGGUGUAAAGGGAGCGUAGACGGUUCUGCAAGUCUGAAGUGAAAGCCCGUGGCUUAACCGCGGAACGGCUUUGGAAACUGUGGG
rnacentral:rRNA from 1 species